UACAGAGGUCCCAAGCGUUGUUCGGAUUCACUGGGCGUAAAGGGUGCGUAGGUGGUCGGGUAAGUCUGAUGUGAAAUCUCCGAGCUUAACUCGGAAACUGCAUUGGAUACUAUUCGGCUAGAGGAUUGGAGGGGGGACUGGAAUUCUUGGUGUAGCAGUGAAAUGCGUAGAUAUCAAGAGGAACACCAGUGGCGAAAGCGAGUCCCUGGACAACUCCUGACACUGAGGCACGAAAGCUAGGGGAGCAAACAGG
rnacentral:rRNA from 1 species